AACGCAGCAAGGGUUCACUUUAUCAUCAUUCGGGCUGUAUUAAAGAAAGUGUGAAUAAGUUCCGUGGAUGUGUAAGCCAGAUCGAGCGUAGAAAGGCAAAGCAGAACUACAAUACAUGAUAAGAUAACUCAAGCGAUGGCAUUGUACAAGGCCGAAGAUAGCAACAACAAGGCAUUCGUAUUCAUGCACUGCUGGACUAUCCUGCGGUCACAACCAAAGUGGCAUGAGAGGAUGAAUCAAUUGUCGUCGCAAAACACUUCAACAAAUAAAAAGAAGAAAUCACCCACAAAUUCAAGUCCAGAAGAUGAUGGUGCCAUUAUGGGUGAUAGUACCAUGCGUGAAAACAAUGAGAAUGGAAAUAUAAACACUGAUGUCCCCAAAAGACCAAUUGGUAGUUAGAGGGCUAAAGAAUCAUUGCGUCGAGGGGGAGGAGAUGCAUGUGUGGAGGCAUUAGAUCAUUUCUGGGCAAAAAAGAAAGAGUCUGAUGCUGAGAAAGAAGAAAUGAAAGAAAAUAGAUACAGGCAAUCAUAUGCGCUAGAUAAAGAGAGACUUGAGUGAGAACAACUAAGGGCUGCAAGUGAGCAGGUGAGGGCUCAAGCUGAUCACGCGAGGGUUGUAAAUGAAGCCAAGAGUCUCCAGAUGCAGGAAAGUGAUUCACAAUUAAAGAGGAUGUUAGAAGAAGAGAGAAUUAUGACAUUGGAUGUUAGCUCAUUGCCUCCCUUGCAGCAGCAGUUCUACAAGAGCUUACAAAAUGAGAUCAACUCUCGUCUCAGGUUGAUAGAUGGUAGGUGGCAGGAUUGUUGGCCGAACUGAUGAUGCAUUCAACAAUGUCUGCAGUUAGACUGCUGCUUGGGUGAUCUGCCGGUGCUUCCACUCUUUGCAUCAGUCAUCGGUCACAUUUUGUUUUGCAACUUGCUUAAGUGUUUUAGGAGUUUGCUCUACAAUUUAGCUAUUUUGUUUUUCAUUCAGACUAAGUUUGAAAUUUGGGUUAAGAAUUUUUCAUGAAGGAUUUAUAUUUAGUUCAGUUCA